rnacentral:antisense_RNA from 1 species
GCGGCCGCCGAGUCCGUCCACAUCGCCAGGCCAGGUGAACCCUGCCUUUGCGACCGUGCACACUGGGAUCCGCGCACUGUUCUCAGGCACGGCGCUGCUCGCGUCUCUGUGCCAGGCGUGCGCAGGGGGAAGGGCAACUAAAGUGACAGCGCGUGGACCCCUCCCCAUCCCCUAGAUUUCUCCCAGCCCCCAAAUGUCCCCUACGGGUUUCUGAAGGAGGAAAAGGGGAGGGGGCCGGCCCCCGCCUAAAAUCAGGGGCAGUGAAGGCCCUGUCGGAAUCACUGCUCGGGAGGUGCAGGGAGGGGCGUGCAGGGAGUCAUCUUUUCUAGAACCCGAUCCACAUCUUCCUUAGAGCUGAUGGCGAACAGCGGCAGGGGCAGCGGAUUUCAGAUUCGGUUUCGGGGGUCGUUAUCGGACCCCUCCACACACACACACACACACACACACACACACACACACACUCACACGCCCAUUGCGGCAAAAGGCUGCGGUCGAGAGUGAAGGGCAGCCCCCUCCCCCAAGUCACCGCCGCCGCGCCCCACCCUGCCGGCACAGCCUCCACCUGGGGUCGGCGCGAAGCGGGUGGUGAAGACCCUCCAGCACACACACACGCGCGCACUCACGCGUGCGUGCAUCCCUUGCUCAGGUCCCUUUCCAGGCCGCCCUGGCCCCAGUCCCCGAGCAGGGGAGGCAGGGAGGGGCCCUGCGGUGGCCCCGACCGAUGCCCGGCGCACGAAGCCCCAGUCUGCGGAGGGGGAGGGCGAGGGGCGGCGGCGCAGGGGUGCACAGAGGCGGACGGCGAGGCAGAUUUCGGAGCCGCGGCGCUUACCUGAUAGUCGACAGAGGCGAGGACGGGAGAGGACAGCGGAGGAGGAGAAGGUGGCUGUGGUGGCGGCGGCAGAAGGAGUCAGAACAAGGACAGGCCUGUGAUGUGUCCGUCUAUGACGAAGAGGACAAUGUCCUAAGGAAUGGAGAGGAAGAAAGUGAAGGGAACCAGGUCCCUGGAUUCCAUGUGGAACAGUAGUCCAGGAUGUUCACUACGGACUGUUACAAGAAAAAGAGAGACAUGAUCUUCCUUAAGGCAUUGAUUUAUCAUGGGUCUCUUUGUUAUAGCCACUUAAUGUUACCUUAAUACACCCACUUCAUGGAUAAGUAAAACUGAGGCUUGGAGAAGCCCACAUUGACACAGCAAAGAA